rnacentral:misc_RNA from 1 species
AGGAUCAAUAGCAGUUGAAACCCUUUUCAUAAAAGAGAGCAAUAAGGACACUAGAAGCAACAACAGAAGAGGAGAGAGUGGAAAAUGAGGCAAAUGUUACUGCUCUUCUUUUUCAGCUUCUUGCUCUUGCUUUGCUUUCCUGAGUCUUCCAACGGGUCACUUUCCCCUUUUGUGGGUCGCCCUUGAAGUCUUCUAACUGAUCUGUGGCAAGACCACUUGCUG